CUGUGGGCGCGGCGUGGAGUAGACCUCCUGCGUGGCUAUUCCUCUCGCCGUGCAGGGCUCCGGACCGACGCCCGCUCUUUCUGCUCACCUUUGCCCUCUAUGCUGAGCUCCUAGAGGUCCCAGCUAUGCCAUCCCGGGCUUGCUGGGAUCCGCUGUCUUCCAACUGCUCUUCAGGACCUGGCUCCUGGAGGGCGACACCACCCCCCCCCCCCCGCAACCUAGAAAUUCCACUUUGACCUGUAAUGAAUCCUCCUCCAACGUUCCCAGCGUCGUCUUGGACCCUCUUUUAUUGCAAAAACUACAAAUGAAAUUGAUUAAGAAGGUUUGGGGCAGGAUGCUGACACAAUAUGAUGUUCAUCUGAGUCCAGCUUUUGAAGAUAAAAAUCAAAACUUAGCCAUUUCUUUGAUCCUAAUGAGGACUUGACAUGGACCAAUGAAUCUGGAACCAUCUUCAGCCUGUGAUCAGUCAUAAUCCAGAAGAAGCCAAGCAGACCACCCAUCACUGUCUGGAGAGAGAGGUGCCCUCACCUACCACCUGCAUCCUUUGCUCCACUGAAGGUACUGUGGAACCCAUGAGGGGGAGCUAAAACUCAGGCUAGGUAACACCAUUUUAACAAUACCCAGAGGACAAUCAGUCCCUUACCGCUGGCUACAGUUGACCUCUGACUUUAAGCCCUAUGCUAUUACUGUGCUCCUUCCUUACCUGAGAAGUUUCUACCCUUACCAGUGUUGAUUGUAUGUCAUUCACCCAAGCCCUGGUAAUCUGCACACUUCUGUAGACAGGGUCUAUCUGGAAACAACAUGCCACAGACACACCAUAGUGAGAGACACCACACAGGUGAGACUGGGGGCAAUAGGGGCCAUGCUGUUGGCUAUUCAGGUUAGUCAAUCAUACUAUCAUGACCAAGGACAUCAACACGGAGGUUAGCAUUCUUUUUCCUAUCUCUACCUACUGUUACUAGGAAUACCCCUUCUGGCUAAGCUGGACUCUUACUGCUAAUGACUCAUAGAUGCUUUCUAAACCCUGGAGGCCUACUGUUACUUCAGAUCGGUAAGACCCACUGUUAACAAUUAGUGCCAUCAAACAAAUAGAGUAAUGGGCCACUACUUAUCAAGUCUCACUUAAGGACUGCCCAGAAAUAAUAUGCAUCCAGUAUUGCAACGAUGCUUGUUAUUGUUCGAGUUAGAUUAAAAAUACUGUCAUCCAGAGCCAAUACCAACAAACUGUAUGUUUACAAAGAUAAAAUUAUAGAUCUUAACUAACCCUUGGUAUAACGACAUAUGUAAACCCUGCCAAAAAUUUUUGCUGUCAUAAUUUUUCAUCUCUUUUCCUAUUAAUUACAAUGCCCUCUCCCUCUCUCUCUUGCUCUCUCCAGUAUAAGCCCCACUUAUUGAGGCAGAAAAAUAUUGCACUAACCAGGUGGCCAGGUUCACUUUACCAUGGAUUUCCUCUCUGGUUGCUAAUCAGUAUAGACAAAGAAGGAAAGGCAUACAACAUAAAAUUAACCAGGACAAGGCCUGCCUAAAAUGUCAGGGGCUACAACCAGCUUGGGAGUUCUUUCCUAACCUAAACUCACCAUACCAACAUCAAGAUUUGCAUUACACUCAGAGAAAGCAGGUUCUUAGAAUUAACAGGCUAACUACCUGAAGUAAACAAUCAUAGCUUUGGGUUGUUUUUUUUUUGUUUGUUUGUUUGUUUUGAAGAACAGCAAAAGCAGUUCUUCUGAAAAACAUAUUUGAUACCUUGUAGAAAUCUAAUCACUCUCUACAUGGCAAUUUCUCCAUUCAAAUUGACAGCUACCUGUUUACAACCAUUACAAAAUUUGCCAGGCCUACCAGGACCAUCAUUAGUAAGAACUUGGGGAAAUAUUUAAGGGAGACUGCCACCCAAUGUUACUCUU